rnacentral:rRNA from 1 species
UCCGGUUGAUCCUGCCGGAGGUCACUGCUAUUGGAGUUCGAUUAAGCCAUGCGAGUCAAUAGUUCUUCGUGAACUUGGCGGACUGCUCAGUAACACGUGGGUAAUCUACCCUCGGGUCAGGGAUAACCCCGGGAAACUGGGAAUAAUACCUGAUAGGUGAAGAUGUCUGGAAUGAUACUUCGCCUAAAGCUCCGGCGCCCGAGGAUGAGCCUGCGGCCGAUUAGGUUGUUGGCGGUGUAAAGGACCACCAAGCCCGUGAUCGGUACGGGUGUUGAGAGACAUAGCCCGGAGAUGGGGGCUGAGACACGGCCCCAGGCCCUACGGGGCGCAGCAGGCGCGAAAACUACGCAAUGCGCGAAAGCGUGACGUGGGAACUCCAAGUGCCCUGCCUUCGGGUAGGGCUUUUGUUUAGUGUAAGAAGCUGAAUGAAUAAGUGCUGGGUAAGACCGGUGCCAGCCGCCGCGGUAACACCGGCAGCGCGAGUGGUGACCGCUUUUAUUGGGCCUAAAGCGUUCGUAGCCGGUUUGGUAAGUCUUUGGGUAAAUCCUCAGGCUCAACCUGAGGAAUUCCGAAGAUACUGCCAGACUUGGAGUUGAGAGAGGUCAAAGGUACCUCCGGGGUAGGGGUGAAAUCCUAUAAUCCUGGGGGGACCACCAGUGGCGAAGGCGUCUGACUAGAGCAAGCUCGACGGUGAGGGACGAAAGCCAGGGGCGCGAACGGGAUUAGAUACCCCGGUAGUCCUGGCUGUAAACGCUGCGCGCUAGGUGUUACGUCCUCUACGAGGGGGCGUAGUGCCGAAGAGAAGUUGAUAAGCGUGCCGCCUGGGAAGUAUUACCGCAAGGUAGAAACUUAAAGGAAUUGGCGGGGGAGCACCACAAGGGGUGGAGUCUGCGGUUCAAUUGGAUUCAACGCCGG